rnacentral:rRNA from 1 species
CCCCUCGAUGUCCUGGGCCGCACGCGCGCUACACUGAUUUGUUCAACAGGUAGGUUCUUCGAUAGAAGCGCCUAAACUUCGAAAGCAAACCGUGACUGGAAUUGACGAUUGCAAUUAUUCGUCAUGAACGAGGAAUUCCUUGUAAACACGCGUCACCAACGCGUAUUGAAUACGUCCCUGCGAUUUGUACACACCGCCCGUCGCUGGAACCGAUGAGCCCUAAGUUGAGUAUCCUGGAUGAUGAUUUAUUUCAUUAGAAGGGGCGCAAAAUCUAGUGCUUAGAGGAUCCAAAAGUCGUAACA